UACGGAGGGAGCUAGCGUUGUUCGGAAUUACUGGGCGUAAAGCGCACGUAGGCGGAUACUUAAGUCAGGGGUGAAAUCCCGGGGCUCAACCCCGGAACUGCCUUUGAUACUGGGUAUCUCGAGUCCGGAAGAGGUGAGUGGAAUUCCUAGUGUAGAGGUGAAAUUCGUAGAUAUUAGGAAGAACACCAGUGGCGAAGGCGGCUCAGCUGGCCCGGUACUGACGCUGAGGCGCGAAAGCGUGGGGAGCGAACAGG
rnacentral:rRNA from 1 species